CGUAGGUGAACCUGCGGAAGGAUCAUUACAGAGUUCAUGCCCUCACGGGUAGAUCUCCCACCCUUGAAUAUUUAUACCUUAGUUGCUUUGGCAGGCCGUGGAAACACCAUGGGCUCCGGCUUAUGCGUGCCUGCCAGAGGAAACAAACUCUGUUUUUAGUGAUGUCUGAGUACUAUAUAAUAGUCAAAACUUUCAACAACGGAUCUCUUGGUUCUG
rnacentral:misc_RNA from 1 species